rnacentral:rRNA from 1 species
UACGUAGGGUGCGAGCGUUGUCCGGAAUUAUUGGGCGUAAAGGGCUCGUAGGCGGUUUGUCGCGUCGGGAGUGAAAACUCAGGGCUUAACCCUGAGCCUGCUUCCGAUACGGGCAGACUAGAGGUAUGCAGGGGAGAACGGAAUUCCUGGUGUAGCGGUGAAAUGCGCAGAUAUCAGGAGGAACACCGGUGGCGAAGGCGGUUCUCUGGGCAUUACCUGACGCUGAGGAGCGAAAGUGUGGGAGGCGAACAGG